rnacentral:rRNA from 1 species
GACGAACGCUGGCGGCGUGCUUAACACAUGCAAGUCGAACGAUGAAGCCGGAGCUUGCUCUGGUGAAUUAGUGGCGAACGGGUGAGUAACACGUGAGUAACCUGCCCUUGACUCUGGGAUAACUGCUAGAAAUGGUAGCUAAUACCGGAUACGACCCUCGGAGGCAUCUCCAGGGGGUGGAAAGAAUUUCGGUCAAGGAUGGACUCGCGGCCUAUCAGCUAGUUGGUGAGGUAACGGCUCACCAAGGCGACGACGGGUAGCCGGCCUGAGAGGGUGACCGGCCACACUGGGACUGAGACACGGCCCAGACUCCUACGGGAGGCAGCAGCGGGGAAUAUUGCACAAUGGGCGCAAGCCUGAUGCAGCAACGCCGCGCGAGGGAUGACGGCCUUCGGGUUGUAAACCUCUUUUAGUAGGGAAGAAGCGAAAGUGACGGUACCUGCAGAAAAAGCACCGGCUAACUACGUGCCAGCAGCCGCAGUAA